rnacentral:tRNA from 1 species
GGGAAGGUGGCUCAGUGGUAGAGUGCUUGCCUGGCAUGCAUAGAGCCCUGGGUUCGAUUCCUCAGUUCCA